AUGCUGGUUGUCAAACCUAUCCUUUAUGCAUAUGCUUGGGACUGAAGGACGUCAAAACUAAAGUAAUUACUCCAUUUUUGACCUCAACUAAUGUAUGAAUAUAAAAUCUUGAUGCAUUAUCAUUGAGAAAUUAUCAAAUGCAAAAAAUAAGUAUUGCGGAGUUGGAUAACUGAAGUACUGAACAUGGAAGACUCAUAGCAUUGUGUUUCUUCUCUCUUUGUUAAGCAAUUAGAUACAGUUACUUGUGCAUAAAAGCUGCACUCAGAACAACUAGAAAAGCUAUCAAUAUUAUAUCUCACAUCGUAAGUGUAUUACCAGUUUUAUCAUGUACGGACAGAUGUUAGAGUUGAUAACGUAACUGUUAUGCAUGGAGUACAACAGAGACCCUAGGGUGCUUUAUCCUUAGUUAAGAGGGGACUAAAAUGGUUUCCUUUUUCUUGCUUUCUUUUUUGCUCUCUCUGUGCUGGAGGGUGGGUGGGAGGUGAAGGGGUACGGUGUGGUUGAGAACUGUGAUUAAAUCAGGCUUUGGUGGCCAAGUUUCAUUGUGGAGCUUUUGAUUCCUCAUCACGAUUUCGUAGUUUCUUGGAGUUGGAAACUACUCAGAACUGCUGUGCCAUGAACUUGAUCUAAAUUACUGAAGGUCAAUGUGCUCAUGCUAUUUUAAAGCCUUGUAGGUGGCAAAGAUAAUUUGGCUUUAAAACUGGAAACGGUACUGGGCUUCUGUGAUGAAAUGUGCUUGACGGAUAGAGCUGCUAUCCAAGAAGAAGGCCAUCAACCUGACGAAGAGCCAGUGUUUUGGAGAGCGCAAAGCGCAAAAAAGCGACAAGGGCUCGCCUCGCUUCAAAGCGAGUUGCAUUCAUUUCUUGGCAGUGUCAUCAACAACAUAAAAUAGAAGAUGAAAUAGCAUUAUGUGAUCAAAGUAUUCAAAGAAUCUUAGAUGGUAUGAUUUCUAUCUCAGGCUUUAGUAGCUUUUUUUGUUUCAGUUUCUUUGUUCUAGUAUUACUCUUUUUACAUGGCUUGGUACUUUACGGAUCAAAAUUAUUUUCUUCUGCUUGUUGUUUGUUUUCCUCCUCUCUCUUUUGAUCUGUUUAAAGAAAUGAAUGUCAAAUGAACUUAGUUUCUAUCCAAACUAGUUGCCUCUGUAUCUCCUUUUAGAUCCAUUUUAUUCCAAGCUGACAUCGUGAGUGUGUAGUGGGCAUGUCGUAAUGAAUGCAACCUUUAGGAGGUUCAUCCUAGUUAGACUAUUCUCAUGCUGGUUGUCAAACUUAGUUUCUAUCCAAACUAGUUGCCUCUGUAUCUCCUUUUAGAUCCAUUUUAUUCCAAGCUGACAUGGUGAGUGUGUAGUGGGCAUGUCGUAAUGAAUGCAACCUUUAGGAGAUUCAUCAUAGUUAGACUAUUCUCAUGCUGGUUGUCAAACCUACCCACAAACUUCCUUUAUACAUAUGCUUGGGACUGAAGGAAGUCAAAACAAAAGUAACUACUCCAGUUUUUGACCUCAACUAAUGUACGAAUAUAAACCCUGAUGCAUUAUCAUGUGAGAAAUUAUUAAUUGCAAAAAAUCAGUAUUGCUGAGUUGGAUAACU
rnacentral:lncRNA from 1 species